rnacentral:rRNA from 1 species
GUGGCGAACGGGUGAGUAACACGUGAGCAAUCUGCCCUUGACUCUGGGAUAACUGCGGGAAACUGUAGCUAAUACCGGAUACUUUCCUCGCUGGGCAUCCAGCGGGGAAGAAAGAAUUUCGGUCAAGGAUGAGCUCGCGGCCUAUCAGCUAGUUGGUGAGGUAAUGGCUCACCAAGGCGACGACGGGUAGCCGGCCUGAGAGGGUGACCGGCCACACUGGAACUGAGACACGGUCCAGACUCCUACGGGAGGCAGCAGUGGGGAAUAUUGCACAAUGGGCGAAAGCCUGAUGCAGCAACGCCGCGUGAGGGAUGAAGGCCUUCGGGUUGUAAACCUCUUUUAGCAGGGAAGAAGCGAAAGUGACGGUACCUGCAGAAAAAGCACCGGCUAACUACGUGCCAGCAGCCGCGGUAAUACGUAGGGUGCAAGCGUUGUCCGGAAUUAUUGGGCGUAAAGAGCUCGUAGGCGGUUUGUCACGUCUGCUGUGAAAAUCCGAGGCUCAACCUCGGACUUGCAGUGGGUACGGGCAGGCUAGAGUGCGGUAGGGGAGAAGGGAAUUCCUGGUGUAGCGGUGGAAUGCGCAGAUAUCAGGAGGAACACCAAUGGCGAAGGCACUUCUCUGGGCCGUAACUGACGCUGAGGAGCGAAAGCGUGGGGAGCGAACAGGAUUAGAUACCCUGGUGGUCCAC